rnacentral:tRNA from 1 species
GGCCUGAUGGUCUAGUAGUAUGAUUCUCCCUUCGGGUUUAGCUCGCAAUCGCUGUUGCACAAAUGGGAGAGGUCCCGGGUUCAAUUCCCGGUCAGGCCC